rnacentral:rRNA from 1 species
ACAGGCUUAACACAUGCAAGUCGAGGGGCAGCAUGGUCUUAGCUUGCUAAGACUGAUGGCGACCGGCGCACGGGUGAGUAACACGUAUCCAACCUGCCGUCUACUCUUGGACAGCCUUCUGAAAGGAAGAUUAAUACAAGAUGGCAUCAUGAGUCCGCAUGUUCACAUGAUUAAAGGUAUUCCGGUAGACGAUGGGGAUGCGUUCCAUUAGAUAGUAGGCGGGGUAACGGCCCACCUAGUCUUCGAUGGAUAGGGGUUCUGAGAGGAAGGUCCCCCACAUUGGAACUGAGACACGGUCCAAACUCCUACGGGAGGCAGCAGUGAGGAAUAUUGGUCAAUGGGCGAGAGCCUGAACCAGCCAAGUAGCGUGAAGGAUGACUGCCCUAUGGGUUGUAAACUUCUUUUAUAAAGGAAUAAAGUCGGGUAUGGAUACCCGUUUGCAUGUACUUUAUGAAUAAGGAUCGGCUAACUCCGUGCCAGCAGCCGCGGUAAUACGGAGGAUCCGAGCGUUAUCCGGAUUUAUUGGGUUUAAAGGGAGCGUAGAUGGAUGUUUAAGUCAGUUGUGAAAGUUUGCGGCUCAACCGUAAAAUUGCAGUUGAUACUGGAUAUCUUGAGUGCAGUUGAGGCAGGCGGAAUUCGUGGUGUAGCGGUGAAAUGCUUAGAUAUCACGAAGAACUCCGAUUGCGAAGGCAGCCUGCUAAGCUGCAACUGACAUUGAGGCUCGAAAGUGUGGGUAUCAAACAGGAUUAGAUACCCUGGUAGUCCACACGGUAAACGAUGAAUACUCGCUGUUUGCGAUAUACGGCAAGCGGCCAAGCGAAAGCGUUAAGUAUUCCACCUGGGGAGUACGCCGGCAACGGUGAAACUCAAAGGAAUUGACGGGGGCCCGCACAAGCGGAGGAACAUGUGGUUUAAUUCGAUGAUACGCGAGGAACCUUACCCGGGCUUAAAUUGCAGAUGAAUUACGGUGAAAGCCGUAAGCCGCAAGGCAUCUGUGAAGGUGCUGCAUGGUUGUCGUCAGCUCGUGCCGUGAGGUGUCGGCUUAAGUGCCAUAACGAGCGCAACCCUUGUUGUCAGUUACUAACAGGUUCCGCUGAGGACUCUGACAAGACUGCCAUCGUAAGAUGUGAGGAAGGUGGGGAUGACGUCAAAUCAGCACGGCCCUUACGUCCGGGGCUACACACGUGUUACAAUGGGGGGUACAGAGGGCCGCUACCACGCGAGUGGAUGCCAAUCCCAAAAACCUCUCUCAGUUCGGACUGGAGUCUGCAACCCGACUCCACGAAGCUGGAUUCGCUAGUAAUCGCGCAUCAGCCACGGCGCGGUGAAUACGUUCCCGGGCCUUGUACACACCGCCCGUCAAGCCAUGGGAGCCGGGGGUACCUGAAGUGCGUAACCGCGAGGAGCGCCCUAGGGUAAAACUGGUGACUGGGCCUAA